AGUGAACGCUGGCGGUAUGCCUAACACAUGCAAGUCGAACGGCAGCACAGUAAGAGCUUGCUCUUACGUGUGUCGAGUGGCGGACGGGUGAGGAAUACAUCGGAAUCUACUUUUUCGUGGGGGAUAACGUAGGGAAACUUACGCUAAUACCGCAUACGACCUACGGGUGAAAGCAGGGGAUCUUCGGACCUUGCGCGAUUGAAUGAGCCGAUGUCGGAUUAGCUAGUUGGCGGGGUAAAGGCCCACCAAGGCGACGAUCCGUAGCUGGUCUGAGAGGAUGAUCAGCCACACUGGCACUGAGAAACGGUCCAGACUCCUACGGGGGGCAGCAGUGGGGAAUAUUGGGCAAUGGGGGAAAGCCUGAUACAGCCAUACCGCGUGGGUGAAGAAGGCCUUCGGGUUGUAAAGCCCUUUUGUUGGGAAAGAAAAGCAGCAGGUUAAUACCCCGCUGUUCUGACGGUACCCAAAGAAUAAGCACCGGCUAACUUCGUG
rnacentral:rRNA from 1 species